CCAACCAUAGCUCAAUUGGUAGAGCAUCAGACUGUAGCGGUUGCAAUUAUCUGAGGGUCGCUGGUUCGAUUCCGGCUGGUUGGA
rnacentral:tRNA from 1 species